GACGAACGCUGGCGGCGUGCUUAACACAUGCAAGUCGAACGGAAAGGCCCCCAUCUCGGUUGGGGUGCUCGAGUGGCGAACGGGUGAGUAACACGUGGGUGAUCUGCCCUGUACUUCGGGAUAAGCUUGGGAGACUGGGUCUAAUACCGGAUAGGACCAUGGUUUAGUGUCUCAUGGGGGAAAGAUUAUUGUUUUGGUGCAGGAUGAGCUCGCGGACUAUCAGCUUGUUGGUGGGGUAAUGGCCUACGAAGGCGUCGACGGGUAGCCGGCGGGAGAGGGUGGACAGUGACAUUGGGACUGAGAUACGGCCCAGACGCCUACGGGAGGCAGCAGUGGGGAGUAUUGGAGAGUGAGCGCAAGCCAGAUGCAGCGACGGCGCGUGGAAGAUGACGGGCUUCGGGUUGUAAACUACUUGCGUUAGAGGCGAGGCCACGCUUUUUGUGUGUGGUGACGGUACCUUAGUUAAGAAGCACCGGCUAACUACGUG
rnacentral:rRNA from 1 species